rnacentral:rRNA from 1 species
CCGUGCCAGCAGCNGCGGUAAUACNGAGGGUGCAAGCGUUAAUCGGAAUUACUGGGCGUAAAGCGCGCGUAGGUGGCUUGAUAAGCCGGUUGUGAAAGCCCCGGGCUCAACCUGGGAACGGCAUCCGGAACUGUCAGGCUAGAGUGCAGGAGAGGAAGGUAGAAUUCCCGGUGUAGCGGUGAAAUGCGUAGAGAUCGGGAGGAAUACCAGUGGCGAAGGCGGCAUUCUGGACUGACACUGACACUGAGGUGCGAAAGCGUGGGUAGCAAACAGGAUUAGAUACCCUGGUAGUCCACGCCGUAAACGAUGUCGACCAGCCGUUGGGUGCCUAGCGCACUUUGUGGCGAAGUUAACGCGAUAAGUCGACCGCCUGGGGAGUACGGCCGCAAGGUUAAAACUCAAAUGAAUUGACGGGGGCCCGCACAAGCGGUGGAGCAUGUGGUUUAAUUCGAUGCAACGCGAAGAACCUUACCUACCCUUGACAUCGACAGAAGCCGAGAGAGAUCUUGGUGUGCCUUCGGGAACUGUCAGACAGGUGCUGCAUGGCUGUCGUCAGCUCGUGUUGUGAAAUGUUGGGUUAAGUCCCGUAACGAGCGCAACCCUUGUCCUUAUUUGCCAGCGCGUAAUGGCGGGAACUCUAAGGAGACUGCCGGUGACAAACCGGAGGAAGGUGGGGACGACGUCAAGUCAUCAUGGCCCUUACGGGUAGGGCUACACACGUGCUACAAUGGCCGGUACAAAGGGCAGCGAGCUCGCGAGAGUCAGCGAAUCCCUUAAAGCCGGUCUCAGUCCGGAUCGGAGUCUGCAACUCGACUCCGUGAAGUCGGAAUCGCUAGUAAUCGGAAUCAGAAGCCGU